rnacentral:rRNA from 1 species
GGGUUAGUAGGUUGGUCAUGCCUCUGGUAUGUACUGAUCUCACUGAUUCCUCCUUCCUGAUGAGCCGUAAUGCCAUUAAUUUGGUGUUGUGGGGAAUUUGGACUGUUACUUUGAAAAAAUUAGAGUGCUUAAAGCAGGCUAGUGCCUGAAUACAUUAGCAUGGAAUAAUGAAAUAGGACGGCAUGGUUCUAUUUCGUUAGUUUCUAGGAUCACCGUA